ensembl:lncRNA
GCCCUGUGCUGGGGACUCUGGCAACACGGGGGUGUGGGGUGCCCGGUUUGGCCUUCCUAAAGCCCUGGGCACCACGUAAUGGAGAAGGGACUGGGGGAGCCCCAGCUGGCUGCUCCAGAGCUUGUGUGAGUCUGUCUGGGGCCACAGGGCUACACAAGGGUCUUGGGCUGGUUGGGAAUUACAACCAUGCUUCUAGGGGCACCAGAACUUUCAGGAACUGGGUGAGGGUGGCCAAUGGGUUGUCCGUGCCAAGAGAGCAGGCCAAGGGUUACACCUGCCAUGGAUGCCAGCAGCAAAUGUCCCUGGGACUGCAGGGACAGACUGGCCCUCCCAGCUCAUGGGCCAGUCCAGAAGGUCACCCAGAGCAGAGAGCCACGAGGGGGCCAGUCAGCCAGGGAUCCACCCCCACCAGCACCCUGAGCAGCACAAGAAUCCUGGUCCUCAUUACCAAAUGGCUCAUUAGAGUUGAAUUUUGAACUCCUGUGUAUUUACCCCCAAACCCCAAGCCAGUCCGUUAAAGUCAAUUAAAUAGCCUACCAAAUGUUUCUCUCAUUACCCUACCAGGUGAAGACUGUGACAACAGUUAUUAGAUUCAUUACAGAAAACAGAAGCCACAACUUUGCUUGUCUGGGCCAAGUGUAUGCAUUUUUUUUUUUUAAGCCGACAUAAGAAAGAUAAUCCAUAAUGCUGAUGGAUAGAGUCCUUGCGCUGUGAAAGAGAGCGCACACACAGGCAGCUUCUCUGUGGGAUCAGCAGAGACAGGGACACAGGACUGGGCCACCUGCCUGGCAAGGGGUGAUAGCUCAGGGGUGUUCAAUUCCAGCAGAAAUCAGGAGGAGAGGCACUCAGAUUGGCAUGGAGGGAGCAGAGGAAGGAUAGGAGAUUCAGUAAAGCAUGGGAGAGGCUUCCGUCUUUUGUCUCCAAGUCCUUUAUUAAGCUCCUGUUGUAUGCCAGUCACUGAGCCAGGAACUUAAAGUUCAGAGCGCCAUCCCAUGCCAUGUGGGGCUCACUCGCCAAGGAGAGGCUGGAAGAUGGACAGCGCUUCCCUGCUGUCCUCCAGAUGGGAGCCCUUGCAGGUGGCACGUUCGAGAGUGGGGUGUUCAAAAUACUCCUGCAAAUCCCCUUGAUGUCCUGCUCUCUGACUUCUGCCCUGGAGAGGCUGGGGCUGCGGAGCUACUCCAUCGUGGUUUUUAGCUGGGUCAGCGUAACAGUCUCAUAACCUCAGAAGUGGGAGCCGUGAAGGCCUUCAUCAGCCAUUCCUGGGGGCAAAGGCCAGUCGUGGCACAGGAGCUGAUAACUCUAAGAAACCCAGACGUCUUCACCGCACAGCAGAGCUGGGCCU